CUUGAUGCAAGCAGCUUAGACUCAGAAGAAUGCAUCUCAGGCUGAGGAGCGCGUAUCUCAACUACAAAGCGUCACAUCCACUAUGGUGACACAGCUCUCCACUCAUCUAGGAGCUAAUUUUUCAAGCAUUCAAGACAUAUUGGCUAGCAUUCAGCUUUAGUUUCUCCAGCUCCUGCUCCAGCCCCUUUAGCUCCUGCUCCAGCCCC
rnacentral:lncRNA from 1 species